UGGCCAAACUACCCUACAGACCGCGAUAACCUCGGGAAACUGAGGCCAAUAGCGGAUAUAACUCUCAGGCUGGAGUGCCGAGAGUUAGAAACGUUCCGGCGCUGUAGGAUGUGGCUGCGGCCGAUUAGGUAGAUGGUGGGGUAACGGCCCACCAUGCCGAUAAUCGGUACAGGUUGUGAGAGCAAGAGCCUGGAGACGGUAUCUGAGACAAGAUACCGGGCCCUACGGGGCGCAGCAGGCGCGAAACCUUUACACUGCACGACAGUGCGAUAGGGGGACUCCGAGUGUGAGGGCAUAUAGCCCCUCGCUUUUCUGAACCGUAAGGUGGUUCAGGAACAAGGACUGGGCAAGACCGGUG
rnacentral:rRNA from 1 species